rnacentral:rRNA from 1 species
UACAGAGGUCCCGAGCGUUGUUCGGAUUUAUUGGGCGUAAAGGGUGCGUAGGCGGCGGAGUAAGUUGGGUGUGAAAUCCCGAGGCUCAACCUCGGAAUUGCAUUCAAUACUGCUUCGCUCGAGUACUGGAGAGGAGGCUGGAAUUUACGGUGUAGCAGUGAAAUGCGUAGAUAUCGUAAGGAAGGCCGGUGGCGAAGGCGAGCCUCUGGACAGUUACUGACGCUGAUGCACGAAGGCCAGGGGAGCAAACGGG